GCCUACGGGGCGCAGCAGUGAGGAAUGUUGGUCAAUGGGCGAGAGCCUGAACCAGCCAAGUCGCGUGAAGGAUGACGGCCCUACGGGUUGUAAACUUCUUUUGUCAGGGAGCAAUUGGGUCCACGUGUGGGCUUAGCGAGAGUACCUGAAGAAAAAGCAUCGGCUAACUCCGUGCCAGCAGCCGCGGUAAUACGGAGGAUGCGAGCGUUAUCCGGAUUUAUUGGGUUUAAAGGGUGCGUAGGCGGAAUAUCAAGUCAGCGGUAAAAAUUCGGGGCUCAACCCCGUCAUGCCGUUGAAACUGAUGU
rnacentral:rRNA from 1 species